GUGAAAAAGAGGGGGACUGGAGGGAAGAGGGGAGGCAGAGCUGUGUCGGCAGGAGGACAGAGGGGCACAACAGUCCUCGGCGUGGGGCAGCGCCCCGGGAACCCCUCUGUUAUCCAAGGGGAUAUCUGAGCCCCUGGGAUGUGGAAGCACACAAAGGACUGUGUGAGGGGAGAGAGCUGAGAGGCUUCAGCCCCCUCCAUCGCGGGACAGUGCUUGACAAGGAACCAAACAACCGGGGACACGCAUUUUCUACCCAAGAGGGCGCCUGCAGCACGGCUCCGGGUGUGUGAGGAGUUAGGAGGGACUGAAAGCGCCUCCCCGGGCAGCACCGGGGCCCGGCAGCGCCUCCGGCGCCUGGGGGAGCCUCGCGGGGAGCCUCGGGGGGAGCCGGGGGGCUCCGGGACGGCCUCGCCGGCGGCUCCCCGGGUCCCCCGAGCGGCAGCGCCGCUUGCUGGUCCCCUCCGGCCCGGCCCCGGGUCCCCUCGCUGCCCCCUGCCAAGGGCCCAGGCCCGGGCGGGCUGAGGGGGGAGCUGGUGGCGUUAAUUGGGAGGAGAAAUCAAUGCCGCGCCCCGGAGGGAUGGAUAAUGCGGAGGGGCUGCGUCGUUAAUUGCCGGUGGCAUUUCCAGUUGUAAUACAGAGCUCCUGGAAAUAAAGCCCGGCCGCGCUACUUUCAUGUCUUAACAAAUGCCAGGCGACUUACUGACAGGCGUUGAAUUGUAGAGUGAGCUGAGCAAACAGAGCGGGGCGGCUUGGACCGCAGAUGCCCUCCCUGCUCCUAAUUUUCUGCUUUCAGGGCCACCGACAGCACCCCAGCACCCGGCUGGGACCUGCCCCUCGCCCGCUGGGUCUGCCAUUUUCUUGCCCUCGCAGUUGCUGGUUUCCAGAAAAACAAGAGGACCUGUGGUGUCUGCAUCGAACAUAUUCCUCAGAGAACCAGAAAUCUCCAGUGGAGAAAGAGAAUGCAGAUGACUUUUUCCACGUGGAAAGCCAGUGCCCAAUGCGUAUAUGGGGAGAUGGCCCUGAAGAUGGAAAAGCUGAUUUCUUGGUGCCUUGCCUAGGAAGUAUUUCUGUAAGAUUAAAGUACAAAGUGGAAAAUCUGCAUCUGAGUCCUCACAAGGAAAAAAAAAAAUAA
rnacentral:lncRNA from 1 species